rnacentral:rRNA from 1 species
CGGAGGGUGCAAGCGUUAAUCGGAAUUACUGGGCGUAAAGCGCGCGUAGGCGGCUUGCUAAGCUAGAUGUGAAAGCCCAGGGCUCAACCUUGGAACUGCAUUUAGAACUGGUAGGCUAGAGUACAGCAGAGGGGUGUGGAAUUUCCGGUGUAGCGGUGAAAUGCGUAGAGAUCGGAAGGAACAUCAGUGGCGAAGGCGACACUCUGGGCUGAUACUGACGCUGAGGUGCGAAAGCGUGGGAGCAAACAGGAUU